CGGCACACACUAGGGUCUCCGUCUCUCACACACACACACCACAAUGACGUCGUAAACAAUAGCACUAACCACCAUCGUCCGCAGCUCCCGCGUACAGAGGCCUCAGGCUCCCGGCUCCACGUGGACCGACCUCGCCCGGCAGCGCGGGGCCACCUCACCGCGAGCUCCUCCCGCAGCCCGGCCCGGGUCACCUCGACUCGCCAGGCUUAACUCAAUAACCACAACACCGGAAAAGGAAGCAAAGGUCGAAGUUCAUCCGCGGCCCUGAGGCCUGUGGGAAACGUAGUCCAACAACGAAAGAGCCCUGAAGCUCAAGCGGAGCCCGCUGGCCGCAGGGGCCGCACCACGCCCCAGACCCUGGAGUUUCCGGGUGCGCAGACCCUUGCCAUCAGCAGAGGCUGCCGCUGCGCGUCCCCUAGGCGCGGAAGAGGCGGCUGGUGGUCCCUGACGGCAAGGUGAAGUCGAGGCAGUAAUCGGGAACCCAGGUUUUAUACAUUACGAAUAAAGCUGGCACGUUUCCAUUUCUCCUGGGCAAAUAUUUAGAAGAAAAGUUGCUGGGUAAUUGAAGCACUGAGACCACAGAGGCAAGAGCUGGGGAAGGAAAACUGCCCAUGAGAUGAGAUGUGCCUCUCAGCUUCCAAAAUCGGGGAGGGUUGCAAAGGGAUGACACCAUCCACACCAGAACUGCAUGAAUGGCAUCAGGAAUGAUCAGAGACCAUAAAUUCCAGUGAGACCAAUAACACCAUUUCUGGUCCUGCAUGCUCUUCCAAACUUUGCCACUAACCCCUUCAAGAGGCUAGGUUAGAAAAGGCAACAGAACUUCAUCCUAAUCUCUCUCAAGAUGCCCCCCAUGGAAUCCAGCCAUCAUGCUGUGAGGAAUCCAAGCAGCUACAUAGAAAGGCCACAACUAGAUAUUCCAGCUGUAGUCAGCUGAAGCUCCAGCCAACAGCCAACAUCAACCACCACACGUGAAAACGAGCAAGCCUUCAGAUGAUUCCGACUCCCAACCUCCAAGCCACCUCAGCUGAAGCCAAGUAGAGCAGAGACUAGCUGUCCCCCAAUGCUCUAAUAUGCAGAUUCAUAAUUAAAAAGAAUGUUAUUGUUCUA
rnacentral:lncRNA from 1 species